UGGGGAAUCUUGCACAAUGGGGGCAACCCUGAUGCAGCGACGCCGCGUGAGCGAUGAAGCCCUUCGGGGCGUAAAGCUCUUUCGACCGGAACGAUAAUGACGGUACCUGCAGAAGCAGCUGCGGCUAACUACGUGCCAGCAGCCGCGGUAAUACGUAGGCAGCAAGCGUUGUUCGGAGUUACUGGGCGUAAAGGGUGUGUAGGCGGUUCUUUAAGUUUGGUGUGAAAUCUCCCGGCUCAACUGGGAGGGUGCGCCGAAUACUGAGGGACUCGAGUGCGGGAGAGGAAAGUGGAAUUCCUGGUGUAGCGGUGAAAUGCGUAGAUAUCAGGAGGAACACCGGUGGUGUAAACGGCUUUCUGGACCGUAACUGACGCUGAGACACGAAAGCGUGGGUAGCAAACA
rnacentral:rRNA from 1 species